UCAUAGUAGCCUUUGUGAGAACUAGAUGAGUUCUACACAGUAGAUCCUGGCUCGAGGACCUAUUUGUAGGAUGUUGCCAGAUGCUUGACCCACAAAGGGAGGAACACAAUUUCUGGAUUUUUACCACACCCUCAUCUGUGAUCUUUCCCAGGGAUUGCUGUUUCUUCUUAUGUAUUAUCACAGCAAUACUCACAGAGCAGCAUUUCUUGAUCUGGUGAAUAAAGCACCAAACCAGGAAUAAAGAAAUGGCAUGUUCUACAGUAAGUGACACUGGGAGGCUUUUGACAACAGUACUGGGUGAGGUGUAAAGACCUGGAUGGCAUCUUGGAAUGUGUGAAUGGAAAGAAAUGAUGAUGGCCCUUGUAUGAUCUGUGACUAGGAUUGUAUCCUGUUGACUUAGACUCAUCAAAGUCCAGCGGCAAUACGAAAAUCAGGACAACCGGCAAUGGUCUGGGAUACAAUGGAUGAUCUUGGAAUCUUCAUUGUCUGACAAAGGUCUAAGCAUAUAGAGCCUGUUUCAACCAUCUUUAAUGACCAUUAAGAACCAUUGGAACAAUUGGUUCCAAUCCAUCCACUCUACUAAAGAAGACAUGCUUGUGGUAGACAUUCUUUUACCUCACAAACAGCUUUGAAGCCUCUUGAUUGCCCUCAACCUAGUUUAGCUUAUAUAUGGUACUGUUUUACCAAGAAUGAUUCCUGUGCAUGCUUCAGUUUCUUGGAGCCACAAUAGUUGAGAGUUGGGUGACAGGUAGACACUAAAUCUGGAUGAGUAAUCCUGAAAAGCGUUCAGUAAAUUCUUAUGCUUAUAUUAUAUAAUAUAAUCUGUAUAUUUAUUGACUUUGAAAAUGUUUGUGUCAUUAAAGAUAAUUCAGAAUGGUUA